AUCUUCUAUUUGCAUAGAGAAACCGCUAUCGCAAGAGAACUAGUCUAUAGAUCUAAGCCAGAAUAGCUCACAGUUUAAGACCAAUUUAUUUUGCCCGGCUUGCCUACUAGCUAGCUAACUGCAGCAAGAUCUGGAAGAGAAGAGGGUGCUCAGCUAGACAAUCAGCCAGACUACGCCUCACAAAAAGAAAAAAGUUGGCGAUAUUAAGAAAGAAAGAUAACCAUUCAUUGACCGGCAAAAGAACGACAUGAGAAAGUGAUAUCCACUGUCCAUGUCGUUUGAGUUCAAAGCCUCUACUCCAUAUCAACAAUCACGACAGCCAAGAAUACUCGUUAUUUAUUCAUGUAUAAUAAAAUUAAUAAAUACUAUAUUAAAUUCUGAGAUCUAAAAUGCAUCCUUGUCAUGGCUCAAGGCUAUAAAAUUAUCUCAGACCCUCUAUCAUCAUUAUUACAGGGCGGUAAAAAAGGUGGCAACUCUUUACCGCUCGCGGUAUUAGUUAAUUGGCGGCAAGCGGAGGCAGGUGACCCCUAUCGGCCAUCGUAUUUAUCUGAUUGGUCAGGUCGGAAUUCCAACCUGGCCAAAAAAGUUCUGUAAAGUGCUUGGAUGGUCUCUCCACACAGGUAUAUGUAUCUAUAUUAUAAUAUAGCUUCGAUUAUUAAGGAUAAAACUGGACUUGUGUGUGAGUUUAGCGUUUAGCUUUAGAAAACUGACGGUAGGAAACAGUAACACUGAUUGUAGAUCGUAUCAUUGACUAUGUAGUCUUCUAUUUCAAGAUUGUGUAUAUACCUUCAUUUCCACAGUCAGAUAUCUUGUUGUGGUGAUUCUGUGGUGGCUCACAUGUAGAUAUAAUAUUAUAUCACUCAGCUCGAUCUGAGCUCAUAUAAUAUAGUAUAUAUAGUGCAUGCACUGCAGGGAAAUUACAGUUUUAUCAUCAGCCCGCGCUUGUAGGACCAGAAAGCCAGAAAUCGGAAAAAGCGGAAGUGAAGAGUAAAUGAGUGGGCGUAGCAGGGCAAUGCAUUCCAAGGUUAACCCUUGAUUUUGCACAGAGAUAAUAUCCUCUUGCCUGAUCACUCUACUAGUCUAUGUAAGUAAGUAGAAAGCUAGCCUCGAUCCCAGGCCGAUCCGUCUCUAAUUGAACGCUAGGUCUCCUCCUCGGCCUGGUAUUGAUUGUAUCUGGGCGUGUAUCUGGGCAUGUGCUGUGGUUGCUGUGGUUGCUCAGGUAUUCGCUAAAAAAGAGCGAAUACCUGAGCAAGGUGGAGCGAAUAGAAACACUAAUAGUGUAUGUAAGCAUACUUACUCCGUAAAAUCACCGUUAAAUCACAAAGAACUCCGUGUCAUAGGUCUAUUCUUUGCAAGUUUAGUUUGUCAUAGAUAUAGGCUUAGCUAGCUAGAGUGUGAGGAGCUGUCUUGUGCGAAGGAAGAAGGAGCAUCACUCUUGUGAAAGAACAGACCUAGGUUCUCAAGUUUCUGCUAUCAGUGGCUACUUUUGAUUGACUACACAAUUUCAUACAAGUAGACCAUUGAUCGCCAGAUACACUUGAUAGAGUCUAUCCUCAGACUCUGGCCAUCGAUCUCUUGUAUACUAUGCUCAGGGGUGUCCACAAGUGGCUGGGCCUGGGAUGUAUUGUCAAGCCUAUAGCCCAAUCCUUGGUAUCUGGAUCAAGAUAUGACAUUACGGCACUGGCACUGGUGUUGUGUUAGCCUCCUUCACCGGCCUUCAAGGAAGUGCGGCCUGGGAUCGUGGCUAGUUUUGUGUCGACCAUCACUGAGCAAAAUGGAACCUACCCCUCCAACCCCCGUCGUACUCCUCCUAGCUGAUGGGUGUGAACUCAUUGAAAGAGGAUGCCCCAGUGCCACUCGUGUCCUUCCCAAGGGUCCGAUCUUAUAGAACUACCUGCACUAAAACUACUGACGUGGAAUGGCUCUUUCAACACUUGUGGUUGCUAUCCUGACCAGUGACGUCAGGAUUCUACUGUCUGAUUCUACUGUCUCUUGAUGCACUGUGAACACACAAUCUUUGUUAUGCCACCUGAAGGCGCAGUAAUUAUUAAGUCUUUCUGGAAGCUCUUGUUUGAGAUCUUCGCUUCUAAACAUCUGCAUUUAUUAUGGACGCAGUACUGCUGUGCACAGUAUUAAUUUCUAGUGUCAUUAUAUCAUUAUAUCGCUCUAUUUUUAGCCAACUGA